UAAAAUCCUCUAUCCUUUGUCGGUUCCUUACUAUGCCACCUAAUUGUGAUGUGAGACAGCGCCGCCCAUACCUUCCUCUCCCUUUCACCACUGUUCUUUCGCCAUACCUCUUUCCUUUCAUCACUAUUCUCUCUCUCUGUGUUAUAUACAUGAGCUGAACAUGUAUGAUUGGGUUCAAGUAAUUUUCUUUCUUGUAAGUUUUUUUAAUUUGGUAAGAGUGACUUCUUAAAUUUGACAACGAAGUAAUUGAGUUGAGGAAUAACAGACUCCUAUUUUAUUUGCGAUAACUGGAUUUUAUUUGUAAGAACUAUAUACAGCAAACUUAAUACCACACUCCUAUUUUAUUUCUGAUCUAUGAAUCUUCUCCCUAAUCUCAAUUCUAUUGUAUACUCGAUUUGGUUUAUAUCACAACCAAUUUGACAAUUCAAUUUUGGUUUCAAUUUUUUGCUGUUUUUAUUCAAGUAUUCAGUCUAUGAUUAUAAGUGCUAUUUUCUUCAGUUUCUUUAGUUAUCUUCGGUUUGGAAAUGAAAUAUUUCAGUCUAUUUGUUCUAUUGCUAACUCUAUGUAUUUAUUGUUUUUAGUUAUGUGAUUGUUGGACAUAUUGUGAACCAAAAGUUUGAUAUAAAGAGUAGACAUGCCAAUGACAUUGCAGCUUCAUUCCAUCUCUAAGACAUUAUCAAGCAGUGAAUAUCGUUUCCAGAGAAGUUAAAGAAGCAAAGGAAGUGAAGAAAGAUGAUAAGAAUGAGAAUAUUAGGAGAGGAAAAUGAAAAGGGGAACGACACGUGUUUUGAUGCUUUGGUUAGGGUUAUUGAAAGUAUUAGAUUUUAACCCGCGAUACACCGCGAGAUUAUGUAUUUUUGUAUAUUUUAUAUAAUUUA